UAGGUUAUUCUUUCCGAAUGACUAAGUUAUUUAAACACUCCACAGUCGUUCAUAUGUUGGAAGUAGGUAUGAAUCAAGACUGUCAUGAAUCGAGUUUGUAGAUGGCUAAAUGGGUUUAGUCAUAGCAAUGGUUGCUACAACAUUCAUGAGUGCUCAUAAGUUAUGAGUAUUGGANUACGACGCGCAUUUACGACACGCAAUGCGUAUCAAGGAAGGCCCUGUCAUAAAGGAAGACGACACGCAUUCACGUGUCGUAACCUUACGACGCGCGUGUUAAUGACACACAAUGUGUAUCAAGAAAGCCCCUGUCAAGAAAGGCCAUGUCAUAAAUGAAGAUGACACACAUUUUUGCGUAUCAUAAUUUUAAAUGUUUAAAAAAAAUAUUAUUUAUAGAUUUACUAAUUUUCAAAUUAAAUAAUACAUUAAAAAUCUCAUAAUACAAAAUAAAAUACCAUAAAUAACAAAGAUAAUUCAUUUCACUAAUAUGUCAAAUACAAAUAAUUAUUCCAAAAGUGAGUAAAUGUUAUAAAAAAUGAACUCAUUUAUAUACAAUUGCAUCAUCUAGCUUACUAUGUGCCAACAACUCUAUGUGUGUUUACUUUUGCUUGAGUCUCGUUUCCUCCAAAGCUUCUAGCCAUGCCAAAAUAUGAUACCUUGAGUCUCGUAUGAAUAGAUCGAGUGCAAUAGGUCUAGCUUGUAUCAUUCCAAAUAAUUCCAAUGCUCGUCUCUAUACAAGCCAAUAAUUUGAGAACUUAAUUUUAGUAUUAUUUUAUAAUUAAUCAAAUAAGAAAACAAUAAAUACCUUCUGCCAUAUAUGAAAGAGAACAAGAUAAACAAGAUCAGUAUCGCCACUUUCAGUUGCCUUAGUCAGGGUUGUAUCUUCAUCCCCAAUUCUUAGUAACAAAGGAACCUAGAAAAGUGCUAAUUUCCUCCUGCUGUGUGAUCUGCAUGAGCAGCAACUGCAGCAUAAGAAAUGCUUCUGCACAAUUUUAACUGAAAAAUCCCAAAAAGUUAGCCAUUGACAUUUUUAGUGUACUUUAAUCCUAUAAAACUCUGAACAAACCUUAUCAAGUAUGAUAUAUCCUGAUAACCACUUCAUGCAAAAUAAGCCUCAAAAAGAAUCAAUCCACCAAUCAAAACUGAACAAGUCAUAUCAUAUAUCUAGAUAAUUGUUCACCAUAUCCACUAUAUCACAAUAUAAGAGAUAAGAAUAUUGAGAGGCCUAAUUUUGUAUGAAAUCCAUGUCAAAAUUGAAAGGAACUUUAUUCAAACCUAAAACAGGCGUAUGUAUGCGAGCAUGUGGUUCUUGAUGAAACAAGAAUUAUAACUGAAUUGUCACUGGAAUAACAAAAGUGAAUCGUUGAUGUAUAAAUAUAUAAUUCCAACUUUUGAGAUGAAAAUAUGUUAAGGGAUUAAGUAGAAGAAAUUACCCAGAACCAAAAGAAAGAAGCUAGCUCAAACGCGUUUUGCAUACAAAUUGAUCAUGAGUUAUGAAGUUAUGUUAUUAGCCCUAACAAGUUUAUUUUUUGAUUGUAGGUUAUGAAAAAUCUAUUCCAUUGUUUAGAUAGUCACGAGCUUCCUUUCCUUCAAUGGCAAGAAUGUUUUGCAGUUUUAGCAAAUCGACUUCAUAAAGAUCUUAAAAACAAGAAGCAUUGAUUCCAAACUGCAUUGAUCAGGGAUUUACUUGAAAGAGCGCCAUGUUUGACUUCUCUAUCUAAGGGAUUAUUAGCUCACCCUCAAAUCAUUGCAGAGAGGGGAUAGGAUAGUUGUGCCUAUACAUUGGAAUAGAACCUAGGAUAGAUUACAAAAAAUAUACAAUUUUCAAUUACCUUCAAAACUAAUGGGCAAACGAAUACCGUGCUAAAAUUAUAAUUAUUGUGAUGAGGGCACUUUAAUUGCAACUGAUGGCACCACCUAAAAAAAUUCCUUGUUAAGUCCUAACUUUUUACAAAUUCGCCCUUUCAGGUAAUUAACAAUCUCACCUUCACAUGGUUGACGCUAAAUACUGAAAAUAAAUGUUUCCAUCCUUCUUUUUGGACAAUCAUAACAAGAGUUCCCAUUGUUCCUUUCAGUUGAGAGCUUGAGCCUUGUAGACGUUGAACCUUCAAUACUCAAACAACAUGUAUCUUGAUAAUCCCAUACUUUGAUUAUAUACAUAUAGAUAUACAUAUAUAUAUAUAUAUAUAUACACACACACACACACACACUAGAUUUAAAAGAUUGCCUGCAUUUGGCGUUUGACAAUAUCCAAAGGGUAAGUGAAAGUCUCACCAAGUAAACCAGCAACCGACCCACAAGCAAGUUUGACCAUCAUGUUCUUUCUGUAAUCAAUGGGGAAAUGGCUUUUCAUUUUCUCAUAGAAGUAAAACUUCAAACCUGAGUAAGGAAAGAUUCCAUAGAGUGAUGGAGCUACAAAAAAAUAUCAAUUUUUAUAAAUAAAAAAAAACUUAUUUUGUAUGAGAAAUUAAAAAAUUCAUACCAACACCAUGAUACAGCCCUCUAAUCCAAACAUCUCUAUAAGUUCUAGAAAAACAAUCCCUAAUUCCUCUGAAUGCAAUGUUCGCUACUCAUGGCUUCUUUCAUGUUCAAUUUGGGAGUAUCCACAACCUGUACUAUCAGAUGAAAAUGAUUGGGCUAGUUAGACACUUGCAUAUUAAAAAAAGUAUGUAGCAAUUUGUUAAAAUAAAGUUGUGGGAAUUAUGAUCGUAUACCUAGUAAGCCAAUUUAGUUCUAACCAAAUCAAGUGGAUAAGUAAAAAGAAGAGCAGUUCCUCCAGAUAAUGAUCCUGGUAACAGAUCAACAACUGGACCACUUCCCAUUCCAGGUUAUUUUAACACAAGUAAACUAUAGUCUAUAGACCGAGGUUAUUUUUGUAAUUACUGCAUCAAUUGAUGGGUUACUAUCCUUUCCAAACUUCUUAGUAAUAAAAAAAUAAAAUUCAAUGAGUUAGUAAUGCCUAGUUUCUCAUGAAAAAUGUCUGACCUUGACAUUGAUUUUGAGGGAGACAUUUUAGAGAUACUAUUUGUUGAUCUUUAGAAGAUAUUUUGUAAGACAACAUUGUGAAAUCAACCCGAGUUCCAUUUCACAUAUCUGCUUCACAUCACUUGAAACCCAAGCAACUUUACUGUCUGUUUGGUUGGAAGGAAUGGAAUGGAAUGGUCAAUUCUAUUCCAUCAAGCAAAACAAAAAAGUUUUCUCUUUAAUUCCAAUGGAAAGGUGAUAAGCAUAUGAAAGCUACAUACCGUAUAACUUGCCAUUGUUGUCAGGGAGAAUGGUAAUAAGCAAUUCCAACUCUUUUCCUCCAAGUUUGUUUACAGUGGCUGUAUACACAUGCUUUAAAGCCUUCUUGACCUGAUCUGGUCUUGCAGAGUAGAUUGGAACCACACUUUCACUUUUAAAUUCCUGAAAUUUCCAACAUUUUGUAUAUAAUUUAAAUAUUUAAUUUAUGAAAGAUAAUAUUUGAGUUGAUUAUAUACAUACCAUGCCAGAUUCUUGGCACAUUUGGACCAACUGAUGACAAAAACUUUGAGCAGCACUAUCUGGAACAAUUCUUGAGAAGUUGAUACAAGCCCAGUAAUUAACAACAAUUCCAUUUAUUACUUUCUGUAUCAUGAAAAUAGUAUAAUAUUAAUUAUCUUAUAAACAAUUGAAACAGUCCCUGUAUAUGUUAAUAAUUGGAUACCUGAUACAUGUGCUUGACAAAUAGCUUCCCAAACAACAGCUAGUUCUAAGCCACUAGCUAUAAGCUGAAACAGCCAAAAGGACAUGAAUUACAUACUUAGAAGAGCCUUGUUGCUGCUUGUUCUUGAACCUGUGAAAAUCAAAGUAGUUACAAACAUAAUCAACUGUUAAAAUUAACUUGAACAUUAGAUACACAAAAAAUGUAUAUGAAUAUUAUGGUACACUAUGUAUAAUAUAAGCGCGUACCUUGAACUCAUAGUUAUGUGUUUCUGCAAAUUUUGUAGCAAAAGCAAGAGAGAGCAGAAGGCUCAGAAGGGUCAAGUGAACUUAUGAAUUGACAGUAUUUGGCAUUGCAUUGGGUCUAAUAUAAUAAUAUUCACAAUGUUUUGGGAAGGAAAGAGAAGCAAAUUUCAGUAAUAAAAUAAAGUGUUUUGAGUACACUUUGUCGUGUUCAAUAAAGCAAGUCACAUAUAAUAACAUAAAAUCAUUCAGUAAUAUCACAAGAAAAAAGAUAAUAAAAAAAUCAUCAACACUUGAUGAUUACUUGGCCCAAACUUCCACAUUCAAAUAAUUGUACAACUCCCUCAGCAUGAUGUACAAGUCACAUUACCAUAAACAAUGAACUAAACUAACGAUGAAAAUUACUAGGAUUCAACUUUCUUGAUGGUAACCUUACAUUUUCAAGAACCAAUCAUAUGGGUACUAAAGAGUCUUGAAAUUUAUGUUGAUAUUUCUUUGACCAAAGCCAAAUCUUGGAUACAGAAAAGCUUUCACCUUUGCUUCUACUACUAUUUUUCUUUCCAUCACUAUCCCCAUCAACUGAGCUAUUCCCCUUAUCUUUCUCAAUACCUAAAUAUUUUUUUCCAAUAUUACCCCUACUAGGGCAAAAUCUCACCUGUAAUUCCGAGUUUCCCACCACAUACUCAUAAGAUCCCAUUCAAAAGCACCUUCUUGAAUCAAGAUUACUUUUACUAGUCUCCCCCACUUCUUUCUCGUCUCUUUUCUUACCAUUUAUGGCUCUAAACUUUCCAAAUCUAACCGAAUACACCCACUUUUCAUUCCCCCCCCCCCUCCAGAUUGGUUAAAAUUACAAUAUAUCCCUAAUACAUGAUCAUAUUCUUCCCUUGAAUCAUCAUGGAAGUUGAAGACUGGAUUUUCAACCGAAAAUCCAGGAGUAAAAAGUGUACCUCUGCAUAAAGGACAACUCGAAUUUGAAAGCAACAAAGUGUCGAUACAAUGAAUGUGAAAAGCAUGGCUGCAUAAAGGAAACAACCUUAGCUUAUCUUGUUAUGAGAAUUCACAAAGACAAACUGCACAAUCGAAGGGCUCUUUUAACCCCAUUAGUUCUUUGUAAAGAAACAAUGGGAGAGCGUCAAUGAAAGCUUGAUCGAAACCAGAAUGUAAAUGGAAGAGCUGUUGUUGUUGUCUCUAGUCGGCGACAUCAUCAUUACCGUUACUUUCUUGAAAUAUUGAAGAUUGAUGAUGAGAGUUUGAAGAUGAUGAUGAUCUUUUCUUCUUCAUGAGGUAUCUUGCAAGAAAGUAAAGUAACCAACAGAUGACGAACCCAAUUCCCAAUACAAUCACACUAUUUCUAGCGAAGAUUAUAGAUGAGCGAGGUUUAUGGUUACUGGGAGGAGAAGAAAAAGGAGAAAGGUUUUGUUUGAUGAGGGGUUUGAUUCGGAGCAUGUUAGUAGAUAUGAAAUGCUACAACAAUCAUCAAGUUUGGAAGAGUUAUCUUGCAGAAAACUUCUAUUGAGAUUUUGAGAUAUGAACAUCAUGGGGAUCUUGUGUUGAGAUUUUGAUCUUGUUUCUGAACACUUCUGAGUGAAGAAGUAUGAAGGUUAAUUUUUGUUUAGAUGGCGAUGAGGGGUGGAUUUAUAUACAGAGGAAGAAGAUAGAGAGGAAGAAGACUACCCAAUCCCAUCUUCUCCUCAAAUCACGCCAGAGCACUCAACGUGAAGAUUCGCAGACCCCCAUUCGCCGGUUCUGUGAAGGAUUUUGUGAGGUCUGCAUCCCAAGUUCUUUGAAGCGGGGUUUAUGAAUUAUAAGAAAAUAACGUUAGAAUGAGGUUUAGAUGAGAUCGUCGGUGACGAACAAGAAGUGAUGAUAGAAACUAGGGUUAUUGGCUCACGAAAAUGAUGAAUUAAAGAACUAACCUUAAACCCUCUAUAAACAAGGUAUGUGUAUGCAGACAGAUCGAUAUGUAAGUAAUGGAGUAGUAGUGGUGGCCAUCAUCUCCAUUGUCCAUCGCAUACAUUAAUGGAGGGGGAUAACGAACCCUAGAAGGCCAUUACAUUGAGCAAUCGCACAUUUAGAGAGUGAAAGGUAGUGAAAUGGUGCAUCGGUGGUUGUUGUUUUAGCAAUCCUGUGGGGGACUGUUUAAUUUAGAAGGAGAAGAAGGAUUUUAGAAGGAGAAGAAAACCAGAAGGGUGAUUAGGGUUUUCUAGAGUAUUAGGGUUUUUUUGUUUGAGGAUUUUAGAAGGAGAAGAAGGAGAUAAUCAGGCGAAGAAGAUUAUUAGGAUUUUUUUUGUUAGAGGAUUUUAGAAGGAGAAGAAGGAGAUGAAUCAGGCGGGCUGUUUAAUUUGUUGGGUUUUCAUUUCCCACCAUAGAUUGUUAAAGCAACAGAGAAUGCGCCUUUCUAAAAAAAGAUAAAGCGACACAUUUACACGAUACGCUUAUUAUGAUAGGUGCCCUCCGUGUUUUUUUUUUGGACACUAAUUUUAGGGUGCGCAAAAAUGCGUGUACUAUAUCCUUCAAAUUUUGGAAAACUGACAUUAAUUUUUAGGGCACACACAAAUACGCGUUCUCUAUCAGUGUGUGUCAUUAAUUGCGCGUCGUAAAAGGUUGUUUUUCUAGUAGUGACUCCAUAGUCGUUCAUAUGUUGGAAAUAGGUAUGAAUCAAGACUGUCAUGGAUCGGUUUUGUAGAUGGCUAAAUGGGUUUAGUCAUAGCAAUGGUUGCUACAACAUUCAUGAGUGCUCAUAAGUUAUGAGUAUUGGAAUAAACCCACGCUCACUUGUAUCACUUCAUGGAAUUUAUCUCGAGUGAUCGUGAGACGGUAAUAUCAUAUAAAUCUUCAAACCUAGAGAUAUGAGUUGUUACAUAUGAGUUGGUUGUGCAUUGAUUGCACGUAAACGCAUCAGUAACUUGAUGUUAUAAAACGUGCCUUUGUGUACAAUGCAACAAGUAGUAGAACAAGUAUAUGAGUCGAAGUUUAUCUGUUCCUUCUAGAAAUAGAAGCGAUAUCUAGGCCCCUCGAUGAUUUUGUUGUGACCUAUGUACCGGCCGGUCAGAACUAAAUUGAUGUGUUCGAUUAAGUUCUUUGUCAAACAAAUCGGAAAUCGGGAAACAAACUGCUGGACAAUAAGUACGACGUUGUUCCAUGUAUUUGUCCGGCUGAUAUCAUGAGGACAGAGGAUUAUAUGAUCACUUAUCUAAAAUGGCGCUUCAUAGUUCAACAGAGUCUUCAUAGUUCAACGGAGUUUUCGAAAGCUACGAUUGCUAGUUGGUUCCUGAAGUAACAUACGCAAAUAUAGUUAUUAGACUUAUCCAAGUGGGAGUCUGUUGGAUAAGGUGUCUAAGUCCAUAACUUAUUUGGUAUAUACUUGACCCGACCCGGCAUGGUCCAUUUGGGUUGCA
rnacentral:lncRNA from 1 species